rnacentral:rRNA from 1 species
GAUGAACGCUAGCGGCAGGCUUAAUACAUGCAAGUCGAACGGUAAGAGAUGUAGCAAUACAUUUCCUAGAGUGACGUACGGGUGCGUAACACGUAUGCAACCUACCUGUAACAGGAGUAUAGCUCGGGGAAACUCGAAUUAACCCUCCAUAAGAUCGUGAAGUGGCAUCACUUAGCGCUUAAAACUGAGGUGGUUACAGAUGGGCAUGCGUCUGAUUAGUUAGNGGCGGGGUAAAGGCCCACCAAGACGAUGAUCAGUAGGGGAACUGAGAGGUUGAUCCCCCACACUGGCACUGAG